rnacentral:sRNA from 1 species
GUUUAAGACCAUAUGCAUGACUAUGAAACCAAUUUGAAUUUUUCGUUCUUAAUAACGUGACUGUAAAUGACUGAUAUGAUAGUAUAUGAUGUUGUUGAUGGUGUGUUUAUAUUCUAGUAUGGUGAUGAAUUUUUUCAGAGGAAUGUCAUGAUAUUUCAUUUUUAAAUGGGUCACCUUGAAGUACUUAAGGAUGCCACAUAUUCUUUAUAUGACAUCUUGACAUCUGUACUCUAGUUAUUUAAAGUCUUCCCAGCACAAACUGGGUGUGUGAGGAUUUAUUUUUUUAAUUAUUAGGCAUAGUUCGUUCUUAGAAACCUUUUCCUGAUAAACAUAUCAUGAGAACUGAACUUUCAAAUCAGGGAUGUAUACGCUAAUUAUUAUAUUCACAUUGUCAAAAAUAAAUUCUCCCUCUAGAAGUUGAUUGACAGUAGAAGGGAUUGAUUCAUACAGUUUUUUCUGAUCUAUAGCAGUAUUGAUAUCAAAAUGUACAAAGUUAGAUAUUGAUAUCAGUAUAUACAGUUAGAUAUUUCUGCACCAAUUUGAGUUAAGCCUAUUUGAAGUUUUUGACCAACCACUUGAGGAUGAUUGAUCAGUUCGCAGAAGAGGUAGUCAAUAACAUGCGACUCAGAUACAGUCAAUCAUGGCUGGAGUGUUUGGGUAGACAGCGGGUGUCAAUUGCUGUCCUCAUUAAUACCUGUGUGCUCAAGGACUUGUAAUAGCCAAUAAUCCUUCAAAACAAACCAGAGACUUCAACAUAGACCCAUUGGGUUGUCCUUCUGGCCGUUGGGUUAUAAUGCCAAUUGUUUCAAAGGACAAGUGCUGGUGAAAUGUUUCAUACACAAAGGCGAUUUAAACCUUCAGAAUAUUAACCUGUUUAUUUAAAGAUUUGUAUGUUUAGCAAUGAUUAAAGUGUAAGAAAUAUGUAAAGUGAUUGUGAUUUGGCGUGAAAAAUAAUUGAGAGAUCACUGGUUUCUUUCAUUGAAACACCGUAGAUUGGGUGUGAAGGGCCGUAGUUCCUCUUUGUCUGGUGUCCUGUAGUAUGUGCUGUCGGCAGUUGUGCAAUCUCUUCGUAGGCUGGGGAAUUCCAUGGCGGGCUCGUGGUGGAAGUCAGGCUCGAAGUGUUGAUGCUGACCACACAUAUGAGUUCCACGUGGAUCCAGUCUCAAAGAGGCUGGUCAGAGAUCGAAAAUCAGCUGACAGGAAAUCUCUGGACCGUAAGGCUGGCAAACCCGACAAAGCCCCAGAGUUUAUCACCAAGCCCCGACGACAGUUUGUUGAUGAAGGGCAGACGGCGAAAUUCAAGGCCUCAUACGAUGGUCCACACAGUACCAAGCUUCUUUGGACCUUCAACGGCAUGGUGCUGUCCAAUGACAGCAAACACAAGAUUUACCAGGAUAAAGAUAUCCACUGGUUGGAGGUUUGUGAUGUGACGUCAGAGGAUGCAGGCCAGUAUACUUGUACCAUACAGAACGCCACUGGAAGUUCCCAGGCCUCCGCAGAGCUUGACGUCCAUGUGAAACCCAAACCUGUGCUUAAGAAGGGCUUUGUGGCUCCAGAGGUAGCCAUCCCUCUCACUGACCAGAUCCUGACCCCCGACCAGAAGUCGGUGGUCCUUGAGUGCAAAUUCUCCAAUGCAAUUGAUGCCAAUGCAACAUGGUACAAAGAUGGUCGCAAACUGAAUUCUGGGUACUUUGCCAAGCAAACAUUUGAUGGUCGUUUGGCUCGUCUGACCUUGAACAAGGUCACAGAGAGAGAAAUGGGGACAUACGAAUGCUCAGUGUCCAACACUGGAGGGGAAGUCAAGACCCAGGCUCAGCUGUCCUUCAGGGUGGCUGGCUCUAGAUCUAUUCCACCAAAGUUUGCUCUUCCUUUGACCAAUCAGACACUAGCGCCCGGGGAUCAACUGACUCUUGAAUCCUCUGUCACCGGAUAUCCUAAACCAAGCAUUAAAUGGUACAGAAACAACGUGGAAAUUCACUCAAGUCGAACAACCAAAAUGGAAUUCGAUGGAUCAAAAGUGAAACUGACAAUACCCAAUGUGCAGACAAGUGAUUCGGACUCUUACAAGUGUGUAGCUGAAAAUGAGGCAGGCCAAGAUCAAAUCAAAGCUAAUGUGUCUGUGAUAGCUCCCUCCUCAGCUACUGAUGAUUUCAAGGAACCCCCUGUGUUUGUCAAGGAAUUGGUCGACAUGGAGGCCAAUGAUGGCGACCGGGUGGAGCUAGUGGUGAAGGUCGAAGGCACCCCUCCUAUAGAAAUAGUCUGGGUUCACAAGGACAGGGAGAUCAGUUUUGAAGACCCAGUGUUUAAGAUGAAGUCGGACGGUAACACUCAUCGCCUGAUCAUCCCCGAGGUCUUACCAGAGGACACGGGGGAGUUUGUUUGUGAGGCGUACAAUGACUGCGGGGACACAGAUACGUUCUGUUUCCUCCACGUACGAGAAAUUUUUACACAACCCUGCAUGAAAUAUAACACAUCCUCCGAAUCAAGCUUUCCACCAGCUAACUGUGAAUCCGAGUCGGAGAGAAGCUUAAGAUCUGACUCUGGAUACGUAACAGAGAAAGCUCAGCAGAAACCAGACUUUAUCCUGAAGCCACAUACAGUGGAGGUUAAAGCAGGAGGGACUGCUAUAUUUCUGUGCAGGAUAACUGGGUCCCCCAGCCCAAGUAUUAAGUGGGAAACCAACGGAAAAAUAAUCAACAAUGAUGAAAGACACAAGAUCACAUAUGGAGAAGAGUGUGUCCUGGAAAUACGAAAUGUGACCCCUGAGGACAGUGGAUUAUACACCUGUAAGCUGACCAACCCAGCAGGGGUCAUAUCCAUGGAUACCAGACUUGUUGUCAAUGACUCGGACUUACCCAGCAAUCCCCCAAACAGGUUACCAACACAACACAAAACUGUGCAACGGAUUGCUGUGGAAAAACUAGAACAAAAAAGGUCUUCAAUGAAUACAAGUUCUCCUGUAGUUUCCCAACAUAAAGAAAAACAAAUCUCGGCAAAAUCGGAGAAAAAAAGCUCUCGGCUGGCCCCUGAGUUGGGGACGGACUUCAGAGAGGUUUUGUCUCAGAGAAAGAAGUCGAGAGAGGAACGAGUGAAAACACAGAACGAGAGAAAGUCAAACUCCUUCUCAGGACCGCCAGCCAAGAAAGACAACUCUAGCAGUUCUAUUGAUUAUAGGUCUGUGUUACACAGAAAAAGGAACUCUUUGCCAAAAGAAGCAUCACCUGUGAUGAACAAGGAGAACUCUUAUUCAGUGAUCAGAGAGAAAUCGCCUGUAAUAGCUAAAGGUGGUCAGGAGACCUUAACACACAACAGGACACCAACCAAAUCUCGACUUGUUGACCGCAAGUCUCCAUCUGUGCAUAAUGACACACCCAUAAAUAGUGCUAGUGAAACAAAACUCAAAUAUGACGCUCCCAAAAUGGAAACAAACGAUAAUUUAAUUCAUCAAAAAUAUUGUGAUAGGACUCCUUAUAAAGGGGAACAAGAUCAACUAAUAUCCCCUAGUCAACGGAGGCGAAGAGCCUCGCCAACCAUGAAACAAGUCUCCAACCAAGAUCUUCAACCCACAGAUUAUGUCCUCAGCGCUCUGCCUUCACAGAAUUUCUCAGUGAUGUCAUUGAUGAGGGCACCAUCGAGCACCUGCUUGCAAAACGAAGACAGAAACGGCGACAGUCGCCAGCUCACAAGGACUAUAUUCCACCAGAUUCGACAAGUAUUGUGAACAUUCCAGUAUUUGAGCCAGUGAAAACAGGUAAUGGAGAGACCUGAGGGUCAGAAUAAUACAUCAUUGGAACCAGAGACAACAAGAGUCAGGGAGGACAAUGGAGGGAGAACCAGAGCUGAUCACAACAAAGAGGAAAAGACUUCACACAGUCUCAAGACUGACAAUGGAAGAUCUGUGGGAACAGACAAAAUAAUAUCUCAGGAAAAACUUCAAACCAGUUCAGACAUCUCUCCAGCAGUGGUGAACAGUCAGGAGGAAGACUUUAGGACUGUUCUUGCAAACAGAAAUACCAAUGGUCUGAAAGAUUCUCCCGAGGAUAAAACUGGAAAUGAAAGUAGUGACAUUCUAAGUGACUGGAGAACAAGACGGCAACAGCGCAGUCAGGACAAAGAAGGGUUGAAUGGAGACUCCGAAUCAACAGUCGAAAAUGUAGCUCAAGAAUCAACGAAACCGAAAGAGAAAACAAGACCACCGCUGAGUAAACUUAACCUAAAUUUAACCGUAAAACACAGUGAAAAUUCAUCUCAAAAUGGCAGUGUAAAGACACCUGAAAAUAAUUCAGAUGAUUUUCGAAGUAUUCUGUCAAGGAAGAAAAGAUCAAGCAGCAGUUUUAGUAAGUACGACACGAAGGACAAUAGAGUUCCGUCCAGCCCAAAGACAACAGAUUUUAGACACGUUCUUACACGGCAUGUCAGCUACGUGGAAAAUAGGCACCGCCAGGCCCCCCAGUUCACAAGUCUGCUGCGGGACAAAUCGGUCAAGGAGGGGGAGUCUGUUACCAUGGAGUGCCAUGUCACUGGGGUGCCUCGUCCAGAAAUCAUGUGGAUGAUGAACAACAAUCAAAUCAAGCCAUCCAAGUUCUUUCGUAUGACCUAUGAUGACGACCAUAUUGCCCGACUGGUCAUUGCAGGAGCUUACCCCGAAGAUGACGGAGUGUACGUGUGUACUGCGAGCAACAGUUCAGGCUCCGAGACCUCUAGUUGUCAUCUGUUUGUCAAAGAAUUAGUGAGCACGACAGACCAGUCAGAAGAAGAGGGAGGAAUGAAAAAGGAAGAAACAACGGAAGACGACAGUACUUGUACGGAGGACGAGUUUGCUGACACCCUGGAAGCCCCGGUCAUCCACGAAAUCAACCCCGCCCAGAUCAGCACCACCCCCGGGCAGAAAAUCACCAUCCAGGUCUCCUUCACAUCCGACGAAAAACCCAGCAUAGAAUGGCGUAAACGAGGCUUGUUGCUGAAAACAGAUGACACAGUAUCAAUAAGCACGACGGAACAUUUCAGUCGUCUGACAGUCCCUCAGGUCAAGGUCACUGAUGCCGGGAACUACGAGAUCAGUGUGAAGAACAGCAUUGGCCAGGCAACAGCAAUGUCCACCGUCAAUGUACACGAUGUGCCCGGACAGGUGCCUGGGCGACCCUACGCCUCGGACACCAGCCUGCGCUCAGUGAUCCUGUCCUGGGGGUGCCCUUCCUCAGAUGGGGGGAGUCCAGUGACCGGGUACAGGGUGGAGAUGUGUGAGGCAGAGACAGAGGUGUGGCAGACCCUCACCGAACAGUGCCAUAGUACAUCGUACCAUGUAGCUGACCUACUUCCACACACACCAUACUUUUUCCGUGUGACUGCCAAAAACAAGCAUGGAUUUGGAAAUCCAAGCGAAACAUCAUCUGUCAUUGUCACCAAAGACCGCAGGUCAUCCCUGCGUUUGUCUGUCGAUUCUGAUGAAGAAGAUUUGCCCUUUGAACCUAAAAUGGUGGCACUUCAACAGGACAGGAAAUUUGAGGAGAAUUAUGACUUGCAAGAAGCAAUUGGAAAGGGAAAAUUUGGAAAAGUUCACAAAUGUUUUGAAAAAACAUCAGGCAAAACAUUUGCAGCCAAGAUUGUCAAAUGCCGCACUCAAAAAGAGAAGGAAAAUUUGAAACAGGAGGUUGAGAUAAUGAAUUUACUAUCACACCCCAAACUUCUGAUGUUGUGGGAUGCUUUCGAGACAGCAAGAAAUGUUGUCCUCGUGAUGGAAUAUGUCGCUGGAGGAGAACUUUUUGAUCGCGUGGCUGACGAGGACCUAGAGUUGACAGAGAGCGAUUGCGUACAUUUCAUGCGACAAAUUUGUCAGGGUUUGCAGUACAUGCACUUAAGGUCUAUUUUACACCUGGAUCUGAAGCCUGAGAAUAUUCUAUGUAUCAACAAAGACAAUAAUCUAAUCAAAAUUAUUGACUUUGGCCUCGCUCGGCGUCAUUUGGAAGGCGACAGUCUACGAGUGAUGUUCGGAACACCGGAGUUUAUUGCUCCAGAAGUUGUGAACUACGAGGAGAUUGGAUUCCCGACUGAUAUAUGGAGUGUUGGGGUCAUUUGUUAUGUCUUGCUGUCUGGGUUAUCUCCCUUUAUGGGGGAUUCGGACGUUGAAACACUGUCUAACGUUACGAGGGGUGAUUAUGAUUUUGAUGAUGAGGCGUUCGACGAGAUAUCAGACUUGGCUAAGGAUUUUAUCAACAAGACAAUAAAACUCAACAAAAAGAAAAGAUUGACCAUAGACCAGUGUUUGGAACAUCCAUGGUUAGCGAGAUCAGAAAGAAACAGUUCCAAGAAACUAAGACAGAGUCUAAGAAAUCUGAAGCAGUUCAUGGCACGUCGUAAAUGGCAGAAAAUGGGAAACGCCAUUCGAGCAGUGGGACGCAUUUCGAUGCUUCAGAAAAGCCGCAGUGGAAGUGAGAGCUCGGUACAGAGUGACUCGGAUGUUUCCUCACAAACUGACAAUAGUACUUUUUCCUCCUCUCGCCCGUCGUCCAUAGGAUCCGAGGGCAAAUCAGAUCUCCGACAGAUCAAGCCAUCCAACAAUUUGGUGCUUAAUCCACCGAAUCCAUGUGCCAACCCAUCCCACAUAACGAACCCUGAUCGAACAGAGGGCCUACCAAAACAAGGCAGGGACCCACAGCUGGCCUUUCUGAAAGAAAUGGUUGACUGUGAGGCCUUUGUUGGUGAUAAUGCAAGAUUUGAUGUUCGAAUCAAUGGAAAUAAAACAAUGCCACCUAGUGUUCAGUGGUAUCACGAAGGGGAGACAAUUCAAAGUGAAGGGAAAUAUUCUGUGAUGGAUGCUUUAUCAGACAAUGGUGAAUACUCACUGAUCAUUAAGAACGUGGAUGGCAGCAAUGAAGGUGAAUACACCUGCAAAGCCACAUCAGGUGGUCACGAGAUCACCUGUAGUGCCGAUUUAAUUCUUAAUGAUGCAGGUGCAAUAUAAAUGACAGCACCAAUAAAUUUUAUCUAUGUGCAAUAAGGUCUUUGAUAAGUUUUUUACUUAUUGGACCUGUCAGUCAAUGGAAGGACUUAAUCAUAACUGCCAAUCAUCCCUAGCUUAACUUAUCCUGUUAGAUUCUACAUUUACAAUGUUUAGCUCAGUGUAUGAGGGAAGGGCUCUGUGCCCUGUGUCUGUUCUGUAUCUAUGACUUUUGGGGUUUGAGACUUGCCAUUAUUUGACCCUGAUGUUCCACCAGCAAGCUUUCUUCAUUGUAACAAGCUGAUGGUCACUCUUGAAUCCUAAUUCUUUCGAUUUUCGGACCCUUAACCUUUAAGGACAGACACAUGGCAUAGACCAUCCUGACAAGUGACUUAGAAGUUAGAGAGGGCAUUGUAUAUUGCAGUGUUUAUUUAUUUUGACAAGGUAGUGGUUCUACAUCUGUAUAAUUCUUUUCUACUUAAAGAGAAGGUCCAAAUUCCCUGAACCUGAUUUGGGUCUCUUUUUAUGUACAAAACUACUAUGUUUAUUUUAUGUUCAUGCACUGUACUGAACAUUUUAAAUUAAAAUAAAAUUUUAGAUAAAAAA